CCUGUGUCCCCAGGUACCCUCCUGAAGCAGGAGAACAUGCACUACAAGGAGGUGAAUUACCCAGAAGGCUUGGAGAGGAUCCUGCGUGACGACACGAUGCGCGGCUUGUACGUGUACGAUGACGAAACAGACGUGGGUUCUGCGAGCGGCCCCGCAGACAUGUCCGGGAGGCACCGGAUCGACUACGUGAUGUUCCGCGAAGGCUCGCUCUCCAACAACUGUGUCCUGAAACCAGAGGAGGUGAUGUUUACGACGCAGUUGGCGGCGCUGACGGACCAUGUUCCCGUCAGUCUGAGGUUUUCGGCGGGACAGAAGAUGGCGUAGAGUAGACCCUGCUGUCCACGCUGUGCUGCUGCCGCCUUGUCAACCCGAGGAAGUGUCGUUCAUCGCCCAGCUGGCCAGCCUGACGGACCACGUACCCUUCAGCUUCAAGUUCUCCUCCAGACUCGACGACUGCCAGGGACUCAUCAGCUACGAAUCUACUCUGUGACCAUGGCAACCACAUCUGUUACCAUGGCAACCAUGUCUAUGACCAUUGCAACCAUGUCUGUGACCAUGACAACUAUUUCUGUGACCAUGGCAGCCAUGUCUGUUGACACGACAACAAAGUCUGGGACUAUGUCAACCAUGUCUGUUGCCAUGACAACAAAGUCUGUUACCACGACAACCAUGGCUGUUCCUGCAUUAGGCAUGUCUGUAACCAAGACAACGAUGUCCAUCACCACAGCAACAGUGUAUUUUACUAUCAUGGCAGCCAUGUCUGUAACCUUGGGACACACAUCACUGGAUGCUGUAUUGGCAUAUUUGUAACCAUGGCGAUCCUAUUUUGUCACCAUGGGAACAUGGAACACCAAUAGGAUAGGAGAGACAGGAGGCAGACUACAGCACACUGCAGGUUUCAGCUGGUCCUGAUGGGGGGACACAAGGAGGGAAGUGUGCUGUCACCUGUACAUGUAUCACACCUGCCGCUCAGGUGUGCUGUCACCUGUAUUACACCUGCCACUCAGGUGUUUACAGAGAUUUUACUGUGGGAACAGAACUGUGUGCUGACUAGGAUAAACAGAAAGUCUUGUUGUUAGAAUUUCAUAGUUUGACUUUAUUUAUUUUACUCUACUAUUAAGGUGAGUAUUUUUUAUGGAGAAAUCUGUGCCUAGAUUAUACUUUUUGCCAUCAGCGCAUGGAAAUCUGCUAUGUUAGAUUUCCUCGCACUGAUGCCAGUUUUCAUUUGGUCAUGCUGCUUUUUCAGUCUGUCUUCCAGUUAAGCAUUUUUACUUUUCUGGAACUGAGAGCCACAAUUCAACAGUUCUGCAAUCAAUAUAUGAAGUAGAUACUACAGUGCAAUAUAGUUGUUCUUUUUUAGCGGAGCAAAGUCCUAUGCAGAAGUGCACUUCCAGGUUUGAGAACGGAUCUGUGCCCAGUGCUGAGCUGGACCUGCUGUGAGCAGGCAGUGUACCAAACAGUGUUAGAAUCACAGUUCUGGUUCCUCCUGUUGUCUGCCACCUACUGAUUUUCAAAAGGGUGUCGCAUACAGAGAAGUGUGGGUUGUCACAGGGUGUGACAGUGAGCUUUGGUGGACAUCAGUAGAAGGCCUAAAAGUAAAAAUUUAUAGUUUUGCCCCCAAAUGUAAGUUAUGCCCUUGGUUUCUGGGUGAGGUUGCAUAUUAAGUUUCUCUUGACUGUGGUACAUGUAGGUAGUCUGCGGGAAGGAGACUUGGUCCACUGGAUGGAAGCUGUGGGACGUCCUUACACUAUUUAUCCUGUCGGACUAGCUUUGUUUUGUAGACUAUGUACCAUGCUGGUUAGGCUGUGUCUGCUCCAGUACUUAAGUAUUGAGUCAGCGGGCACUACAGAGGAUGGUACCCAGGCUACCAGUACUUGUAACUAUUGUGGAAAACGCUAGCCUGUACACAUACAUGUACACAUAUGAAGGUACACUAAUCGGGAUGGCACCCAGACUUGUUGCCAUCGGAUAGCCUGUCUGAAUUUUAUUUCAGGUUUUUACAAACUAAGGUUUUGAAUUCUAUGCAAGACUUCUCACCUUUUAUUUAUACUAUAAUGAUUACAUAUUACUAAGUCUUCCAAAAUGUUCAUUAGCUUGAUCUGAGUAAGAUCAGGCAUCAGAUUUAGUGUUGUUAGUGUUUUCUAGUGUUUGUCUAUAUUUGUCUCCACAAUUAAGUGUGUGCAGUACAUCGUUGGUUUACACACUCCUGUCCCUGAGUAAUUUUGUACUAUCGUAGGCCUCACUAAUGCCAUUUCUUGGUUCUUAUUGGCCCUUUUGCCACUUAUAUUAAUAUUGGUUGGAACUGAAAGAAGAAGAAAGGAAAAAUCACCCCUCAGCAUAUGUAUCAAGCCCAUGGUGCUUACAGUUGAAGAACAGAAUUGUCCAACUGUUAGAAUGUUUCUGUUUGUUCAUGCAUAAAAAGCUAAAAAUUAAUCUAUUUGGAUUUAUGUGAUUGUUGACCAGCUUACUGUGUUACUGUGUUAACUGUCUGUCUCCUGGGGCAGCAGCUGGGCCUGUCAGGAAAUCGUCACAGACCACCACAAGUAUGUUCUUCUUUUUCUACCCAACUGUUCAGUUUCUUAAAAAAUGUGAGAACCAAGACGUUACAUGUGUGUGUGUGUAGCCCAAGUAAGAAUUGCGGAAGACACCAAAGAUGCCAACAUGUGAGUCAUCCAGUGUCAGCUUGAGUUGCAUUUCUGUGCCAACAGAUUCUCUUGUUGUUUAUGAUAAAGUUGAUGUUUCUGAUGAUAAAGGCUCAGAUUUGAGUUAAUAUAAUAAGUCAGUAAGUUCUGAGUGCCGACAAUCAACACUUGUACUAGAAUAACUUAAAUCUAAUUUAUAUAAUAUGUUAGAAUUAUAUCAUCACCAGAAGUUACAGUUAAUGGUGAAGUGUUCUAUAGAUAUUUUAUAUGAGUGUGAGAGAGACUUAUUUUAUAUGUAACAAUAACAUUUGAAGUUAUGAUUAUCAAUGAUACUUAGAUUGAUGUGGACCACAGGUACAAGUAUGGAUAAAGUUUCUGUCAAACAUGCUGAUGGCAAACACACAUAGACUUAUCAGUUCUUUAAUGGCUGCUCUGUUCGUAGAACUCACUAGUGUGACCCUGUAUGGAGAGGACUUAGCUUUUGGGUUUGAUUCAAAACAAAAGCCCUGGAAUGGCGCUAUUGUUGUGCUGUUUUGGUGGGACCAUGACAGGCGAUGUUCCCUUUUCCGUCAAAUUGCACAAAAACAGGACAACUGUAGGACCGUGCUGUUUCUGUCACAAGCCAGGUCUGUGUUGAAAAGACUUGUACAUAACCAUGGCCGGUAGAGCUGAACUUCUGUGUGAUACCAUAUACACAUGUAUUUUAUACGAUAUCACAAACAGGUCAACCAUAUUAUGUAAAUUACAAUAAUACGGAUGAGUAAACACUUCUAUGUGAUACCAGCCACAAAUAACUGAAAUUUUACCUACUACCACAAACGCAUAAACGUUAUUGUGAUACCACAAACGGGUAAACAUUUGUGUGAUACCACAAAUGGAUGAACAUUUAUGUGAUACCAUAUAACGGGCAAACAUUUAUGUGAUACCACAAACGGGUAAACAUUUGUGUAAUACCACAAAUGGAUGAACAUUUAUGUGAUACCCAUAUAACGGGUGAACGUUUAUGUGAUACCACAUAUGGGUGAACGUUUAUGUGAUACCACAAACGGGUGAAUAUUUAUGUGAUACCGUAUAACGUGUAGCUUUCGACACCACCAACACGGCUGUCUUUAAAAUACUACACACUCAAACACUGCCGAACAUUUGUCACCUCACAUAUCAGCAUACCGUCUCCUUGGUGACAUGACGUAGCCGCCAACAAUAAACUUGCAUGACGUCAUGCACCAAACAAACAACGGAGUUGACUGACUUCCUUUCUCCUUCUCUCCGUGGUCUGUAUGGCAGCUAGUGCCGGUUGGGGAGGUUAGAGUAUCAAUAUGGACGUCACUCAAGCAAGACAGCAAGACGAUAAGUUGUAUUGGUCAGACUGACGUAGCAAUGGCAAACGCGUACGGACCAUGAACUAGCUUCUAGCGGCCGUGAGACAUUAGAACACGGUACAAAUUAGAAAGCCCGAUAAAAAAAGGCAAAAUCAGUGUGAGCCUAACCUCUGCUUGGAGAGUAGCUUUUUUCUCUACUGUAUGUUUUGUACCAUGUAAAUGUCAUGGAAUAUGUUGAUAGAUUGAUUAGGACUGGAUGUAUAAAUUUGUAUCUCUGUUAUAUCUUACCUGACCUUCAUCUCUCCCCGCAUGACCUCCAUGAAAAGUGGCCUGCAAUUUUUUUUCUAUGCAAUAAAACCAUUCAUUCAGAUCCAUUCUGUCUGCUUUGAUGAUGCUGCUUUAUUAGUCCAUUAGCUGAGAUGCAAACUUUUAAAAAAUUGUUCAUGUAACAGUUACAACUACUCUGAAACGUCUGACCAUUUUCCAGUUGCUUGAGUAAGUUUGGUAAAUUGAGUAAUGUCUAGCCUUCGUCGGCGGUGCACGGUGGUACGUAAGGUUGCUUCCGACAGAAGCCUGAUGCCGUAGUCUAGCUCCAGUUUAGGGCUGGGUAUCGGUACAUCGUACCGUUACAAAACCGGUUUUUCUUGUUGGACCGGUCCAGAAAAGCCGGACUUGAAAAAAUUAGGGGGACCGGAUGUUGGACCGAUUAGAAAAUUAACAUAUUGUUUGAUCAGGCAUUCACACGUUUUGGGCCAUGCAGGUGGAAG